UUAAGCGACUAAGCGUACACGGUGGAUGCCUUGGCAGUCAGAGGCGAUGAAGGACGUGCUAAUCUGCGAUAAGCGUCGGUAAGGUGAUAUGAACCGUUAUAACCGGCGAUUUCCGAAUGGGGAAACCCAGUGUGAUUUGUCACACUAUCAUUAACUGAAUCCAUAGGUUAAUGAGGCGAACCGGGGGAACUGAAACAUCUAAGUACCCCGAGGAAAAGAAAUCAACCGAGAUUCCCCCAGUAGCGGCGAGCGAACGGGGAGCAGCCCAGAGCCUGAAUCAGUGUGUGUGUUAGUGGAAGCGUCUGGAAAGGCGUGCGAUACAGGGUGACAGCCCCGUACACAAAAAUGCACAUAUUGUGAGCUCGAUGAGUAGGGCGGGACACGUGGUAUCCUGUCUGAAUAUGGGGGGACCAUCCUCCAAGGCUAAAUACUCCUGACUGACCGAUAGUGAACCAGUACCGUGAGGGAAAGGCGAAAAGAACCCCGGCGAGGGGAGUGAAAAAGAACCUGAAACCGUGUACGUACAAGCAGUGGGAGCACGCUUAGGCGUGUGACUGCGUACCUUUUGUAUAAUGGGUCAGCGACUUAUAUUCUGUAGCAAGGUUAACCGAAUAGGGGAGCCGAAGGGAAACCGAGUCUUAACUGGGCGUUAAGUUGCAGGGUAUAGACCCGAAACCCGGUGAUCUAGCCAUGGGCAGGUUGAAGGUUGGGUAACACUAACUGGAGGACCGAACCGACUAAUGUUGAAAAAUUAGCGGAUGACUUGUGGCUGGGGGUGAAAGGCCAAUCAAACCGGGAGAUAGCUGGUUCUCCCCGAAAGCUAUUUAGGUAGCGCCUCGUGAAUUCAUCUCCGGGGGUAGAGCACUGUUUCGGCAAGGGGGUCAUCCCGACUUACCAACCCGAUGCAAACUGCGAAUACCGGAGAAUGUUAUCACGGGAGACACACGGCGGGUGCUAACGUCCGUCGUGAAGAGGGAAACAACCCAGACCGCCAGCUAAGGUCCCAAAGUCAUGGUUAAGUGGGAAACGAUGUGGGAAGGCCCAGACAGCCAGGAUGUUGGCUUAGAAGCAGCCAUCAUUUAAAGAAAGCGUAAUAGCUCACUGGUCGAGUCGGCCUGCGCGGAAGAUGUAACGGGGCUAAACCAUGCACCGAAGCUGCGGCAGCGACACUAUGUGUUGUUGGGUAGGGGAGCGUUCUGUAAGCCUGUGAAGGUGUACUGUGAGGUAUGCUGGAGGUAUCAGAAGUGCGAAUGCUGACAUAAGUAACGAUAAAGCGGGUGAAAAGCCCGCUCGCCGGAAGACCAAGGGUUCCUGUCCAACGUUAAUCGGGGCAGGGUGAGUCGACUCCUAAGGCGAGGCCGAAAGGCGUAGUCGAUGGGAAACAGGUUAAUAUUCCUGUACUUGGUGUUACUGCGAAGGGGGGACGGAGAAGGCUAUGUUGGCCGGGCGACGGUUGUCCCGGUUUAAGCGUGUAGGCUGGUUUUCCAGGCAAAUCCGGAAAACUAAGGCUGAGGCGUGAUGACGAGGCACUACGGUGCUGAAGCAACAAAUGCCCUGCUUCCAGGAAAAGCCUCUAAGCAUCAGGUAACAUCAAAUCGUACCCCAAACCGACACAGGUGGUCAGGUAGAGAAUACCAAGGCGCUUGAGAGAACUCGGGUGAAGGAACUAGGCAAAAUGGUGCCGUAACUUCGGGAGAAGGCACGCUGAUAUGUAGGUGAAGUCCCUCGCGGAUGGAGCUGAAAUCAGUCGAAGAUACCAGCUGGCUGCAACUGUUUAUUAAAAACACAGCACUGUGCAAACACGAAAGUGGACGUAUACGGUGUGACGCCUGCCCGGUGCCGGAAGGUUAAUUGAUGGGGUCAGCGCAAGCGAAGCUCUUGAUCGAAGCCCCGGUAAACGGCGGCCGUAACUAUAACGGUCCUAAGGUAGCGAAAUUCCUUGUCGGGUAAGUUCCGACCUGCACGAAUGGCGUAAUGAUGGCCAGGCUGUCUCCACCCGAGACUCAGUGAAAUUGAACUCGCUGUGAAGAUGCAGUGUACCCGCGGCAAGACGGAAAGACCCCGUGAACCUUUACUAUAGCUUGACACUGAACAUUGAGCCUUGAUGUGUAGGAUAGGUGGGAGGCUUUGAAGUGUGGACGCCAGUCUGCAUGGAGCCGACCUUGAAAUACCACCCUUUAAUGUUUGAUGUUCUAACGUUGACCCGUAAUCCGGGUUGCGGACAGUGUCUGGUGGGUAGUUUGACUGGGGCGGUCUCCUCCUAAAGAGUAACGGAGGAGCACGAAGGUUGGCUAAUCCUGGUCGGACAUCAGGAGGUUAGUGCAAUGGCAUAAGCCAGCUUGACUGCGAGCGUGACGGCGCGAGCAGGUGCGAAAGCAGGUCAUAGUGAUCCGGUGGUUCUGAAUGGAAGGGCCAUCGCUCAACGGAUAAAAGGUACUCCGGGGAUAACAGGCUGAUACCGCCCAAGAGUUCAUAUCGACGGCGGUGUUUGGCACCUCGAUGUCGGCUCAUCACAUCCUGGGGCUGAAGUAGGUCCCAAGGGUAUGGCUGUUCGCCAUUUAAAGUGGUACGCGAGCUGGGUUUAGAACGUCGUGAGACAGUUCGGUCCCUAUCUGCCGUGGGCGCUGGAGAACUGAGGGGGGCUGCUCCUAGUACGAGAGGACCGGAGUGGACGCAUCACUGGUGUUCGGGUUGUCAUGCCAAUGGCACUGCCCGGUAGCUAAAUGCGGAAGAGAUAAGUGCUGAAAGCAUCUAAGCACGAAACUUGCCCCGAGAUGAGUUCUCCCUGACUCCUUGAGAGUCCUGAAGGAACGUUGAAGACGACGACGUUGAUAGGUCGGGUGUGUAAGCGCAGCGAUGCGUUGAGCUAACCGGUACUAAUGAACCGUGAGGCUUAACCUU
rnacentral:rRNA from 1 species